rnacentral:rRNA from 1 species
UGCGAACUCCUACGGGAGGCAGCAGUGGGGAAUAUUGGACAAUGGGCGAAAGCCUGAUCCAGCAACGCCGCGUGAGGGAUGACGGCCUUCGGGUUGUAAACCUCUUUCAGCGGGGACGAAGCGAAAGUGCCGGUACCCGCAGAAGAAGCACCGGCCAACUACGUGCCAGCAGCCGCGGUAAUACGUAGGGUGCAAGCGUUGUCCGGAAUUAUUGGGCGUAAAGAGCUCGUAGGCGGUUUGUUGCGUCGGCUGUGAAAACCUGAGGCUCAACCUCAGGCCUGCAGUCGAUACGAGCAGACUAGAGUGUUGCAGGGGAGACUGGAAUUCCUGGUGUAGCGGUGAAAUGCGCAGAUAUCAGGAGGAACACCGGUGGCGAAGGCGGGUCUCUGGGCAACAACUGACGCUGAGGAGCGAAAGCGUGGGGAACGAACAGGAUUAGAUACCCGAGUAGUCCAGAUG